AGCGUCGCCGUGCCUUAAAGGGACAGUUCACCUGAAAACACGAGGGGGAGCGGUCCAAAAGAUGUUUUUGUGAAACCAGAAGGAACCAUAUUUGGGGGGCGGGGGAUGACAGCAACCCUGCAUCCACUGGACGGUACUAGCUGUCAAUCACACGGUAUCUCGUGUUUUAUCAUCUACUUUACUCUAAAUUGGACCAUCAAUUACAAAACAAACAUCUUGUUUUCUUGAACAAGACUUCUCAGGAACUCCUCAGGAAAUUUUAUACUGGCGUAUAUCAAAGUGAGAAGUCGAGUCAUUUCCUCAUAGACUGCUGUAGAAACGGACUUCUUUCUGCAACCAGUGGACUCGCCCUCUGCUGGUAAUUCCAGAAAAUACAGGUUUCAGGCCCUUUCCACAUUGGCAUCACUUUCUGGACCCGUGAAUCAUUACUACUACUGUUACUACUGCCCUCUGCUGGAAGUAGGUGGUGCUAUGGCCAAGACGGACAUUUGGCCAGUAGAAGUUUUCCAGUGUGUGUACCCACCACUGAGUUGUCCCUGCACCCUGCGCGGGUGAGGAGCUUGGUGUCUGGCAGAACAUCGAAGGGAGACAGAGUCCCGUCGUCAUCCUCCACGCUGUCCAGCAUCUCAGUCAGGGCCGACAGCAGGGACUCACUCUCCUCCUCCAUGCCACUCUUACCCUGAAAAGACCCAGCAGUGAUUUAUCUGUCCAAUUCUACCAUUUACGAGUUGCUCCUCCGAUUUAUAAGCUUCAUCACUGACCUCUGAUGCGACUGUGGCGUCAUCGAAAAUGGACAGGAUGGAGUGAUCCGUACAGGACUGCGAGUCCAUCUCCAGGCCUUCGACAUCACCUCGACUCAGGGCCGACUGCAGAGACACAGACAUACAUGGAAACUGCAUCAAAACCCAUGUUGUGUAAAAUAAAUGUGUAAGCACGCACACUAAUCUGGUCUAUUUAUUUUACAUCCUGCAAUUUCACAAUACACUCCUUACUCUGGGUGGGACCAGACACUAAGGCACAGGACGCAAUGAGCUUGAAAAUUAACUUUCUCAGCAUAAACAGGAAGACACGCCCGACAGUAACUUCAAAUACAGCCAUGACAAUGAGUGAGGCAAAGUUGGCGUUCAAUCCACAUUUGAGACACUGCCACCGAGCUGAACACUAAAUAAAUAAAUGGAAUAAAAUAGCAUAAACCUCUAAA